AUGCACGCUGGCGGCGUGCCUCAUCCAUGCAAGUCGAGCGAACAGACGAGGAGCUUGCUCCUCUGACGUUAGCGGCGGACGGGUGAGUAACACGUGGAUAACCUACCUAUAAGACUGGGAUAACUUCGGGAAACCGGAGCUAAUACCGGAUAAUAUAUUGAACCGCAUGGUUCAAUAGUGAAAGACGGUUUUGCUGUCACUUAUAGAUGGAUCCGCGCCGCAUUAGCUAGUUGGUAAGGUAACGGCUUACCAAGGCAACGAUGCGUAGCCGACCUGAGAGGGUGAUCGGCCACACUGGAACUGAGACACGGUCCAGACUCCUACGGGAGGCAGCAGUAGGGAAUCUUCCGCAAUGGGCGAAAGCUUGACGGAGCAACGCCGCGUGAGUGAUGAAGGUCUUCGGAUCGUAAAACUCUGUUAUUAGGGAAGAACGAAUGUGUAAGUAACUAUGCACGUCUUGACGGUACCUAAUCAGAAAGCCACGGCUAACUACGUG
rnacentral:rRNA from 1 species